rnacentral:lncRNA from 1 species
UCGUUUAGUAUCACUCAGGGCAUGUUUACGUAUCAGUAAUGGGUAUGGGAGGAAAGGAAAUGAUUUCCAUUCCUGACUUCCUCUGCGUUUACUUGCAAUCAAGAAUGAAAAAAAUAAGUGGACCCCACCUCAAAAUCCGUAAUCACAUCCCCUCAAAACUAGGUAUCAGAUCAACUAGAAGGGAGUAGUCGAUACGAUUCCCAUUCCUGUUUUCUCUUAUUAACUUCCAAAAAUACCCUUACCACUUUACCAUAAUUUCAAAACACCCAAACCCUAAAAAAAACAAAACCUCACGCCAAGAAGUUCCAAGACGCUCCAACCCUAAAAAAAAUAAAAACUCAGUUCCAAGAAGUUCCAUGUAUUUAAUCGUAUGAAGAUUAUGCAUGUCAUUAUUAUUUGAUUGUUUACUAGUUACGUAGGUGAAAGAUAUAUAUUCAUUGGAGUUUAUCUUUUCGUUUGAAAUUGGCUCUGGACAAAGAUGUUAUUAACAUUAUCAUUGAACUGGGCUCCUAUUGUUCAUCUUGUUCAGCAUAUUGAUUCCUCAUGUUUACACCACCUUACUAGUUUUCUGCAUGAUUAGUUUAGUC